rnacentral:sRNA from 1 species
AACCCACCCACCCAGAGUCCCACCCUACUCUCCACUUUGUGCCACGGAUUGCUGUACAAUUCCUCAUUGUUUCAGAGCCUUGAUUACUGGCAGCAAGAACAUCUUAAUUGAUUCAGAGGAAAAGCAUCUCAUCAGCAGGAGUCUGUGUGCUUUUUCCAACUGCCAUUGUUUCCGGUGCCUAUUGCUUCAUCUGGGCUAAAAUUCCCAAUGUUGAGUCUUAGUGCAAUAAACCUUGUUGACAUUCCUCUUUUGGAGAAUGGUCCAGAGUCAUCCUUUUAUGCAGAAGUGCCUCUUACCCUAUGGAAGAAGAUCUCAGAUACCACUGUGCAUGGAGAACAGCAUGGCCCUGCUAUUGUUACUUUUGUAAUCAGGAAAGGAAUUGAGCAUUGAGCAUCUAUGGUCUCUUGUUCUCAUGAGUUUCAGAACCAAUCUCCUGGUACUAAGGGGGUUUAACGCAAAAUUAAGGAGAUAGACUCAGAAGAGGUCCAUCUGGCUUGGAACUCUGGUACAGAACGCCCUGGCUGCUGCUAUUCAACCUUGAUCAAUGGUAUCAGGAGACUACUACUCAGCAUACACAGAGAGACUCCAACAGUUAUGCCUUUUCAUCCAUGGACCCUGUCUUUGGCAGGGAGUCUGUACACUCCAUAAGGCCAGCCUCAGAAAAUGGAGCAUCAGAUAUCUCACCAAGUUUGACAAGCAAUCUGGGUAAUUUAGAACUUGACGGUGAAAUAUUUUAUAAUGUGUGGUAUUGACUGUGUGUGGCUUUGCUCUCCUCUGAAGAUGACUUUUCAAUUUCCCUUCUUUUGGUCCAAAUACACCUCCACUAUUUGAAUCAACUCUUGCAUUUAGUGGUUAGUCUGACUGCCGGUAAAGAUAUUAUCUCUCAUAUUCUGCAUUUCUUACAUUUUUGCUCAGAUCUCUCCCUAUCCAGUCUCUUUCUGCUUCUCCUUAGUUGACAUGAGUCAGGAAUCUACAUCCCUACUCACUAGGAUUCUCUGCUGCUUUAGGGGAUGCUGUCAGUUUAUGCCAAACUCAAACCCAUUAGUUCAUUGCAUAUAAUGGUAGAUGGUUUACUAUAAAUGGACCAGCAGCUAAUUUCCAGAUUUCUCCCAAACCCUAGUCUUCUAGAUUUAGAAUUGAGUUCCAUACUACAUAAUCAAAUAUAUUACAAGGUGAUAAGGUAAGUGAAGCAAAUUAUGGUCAUAAUCUUAUUUUGAAUUAAAAACAAAGCUACUCCAGCAAGUGAAAGCUAUCUGACAUUGACAUGAAUAAACCCUCUGAUGUUUGUUUUCAGUUUUAUGUCUUGAACAUGCCUCUCUAGCCUUUUGUCUGGAAUCACUGUAGCUGGGUGGUUGAAUGGAAAUGCGACAAACCACGAAAGAAGGCUCUUAUUGCAAUAUUGCCAGCCAGACUGCAAUCAGGAAAUAUUAGGGAUCUUAUAAUAAGUGUGGAGACUUCUAGCCUAAUUUCCCAGUCUCAGAAGUUUGAAUAGAGCUUAGAUUGAGCUGCCAACCUUCGGUAUUCUUUCAACAGACCUCUGGUCUCAUGGUCACUCACCCUGCAUUUGAGGAGUUACCUAUAAAAAUCUAAGUUCUUAGAAGACCAAAUCACAGUGCUUUUAAGCUUGUUGAAUGGACCACGCCUGGAAGAUGGACUCUGGCUAUGUUGGACAAUGGAAAGGAAGGAGAUAGUAGCACCUUGAUGAAGAUUCUUCAAAGCCAGUUGGGAAACCAGUUGCUGUGGUUGAACUCCCUACAGGAACAAGGGAGGAAAAUACCAUUAUUUGCUCUCCACUUUAGCAGUAUGGGAACAACUUGAAAGGCUGGUGGUGGCUUCACCACGGUCCAAGCCACAUAUACUUAAUGAAUCUUUGUGAAUAAAAACCACCCCAGGAAUUAGGUGUAAUGAAUUCUGGAAAGCACAGGCUUUGAAAACUCCCUCUGAUCCUUUGAGAAUUUUGUGAUUUCUGUUUGGUUGUGAAUGAUGGAUUGCUUCUGCAGAGGGUGAGCUAGUUAACCGAGCUUAUAGGGUACACUGUACUAUUCCUUCAGUAUUAUAAUUACAGAAUACUUUCUUUCAGUUAAUUUCCCCAAAUCUGUUAGAGAAGUCCCCAUGCUCCUAAACUGCUUUGCUCAGAAGCUUUUCAGACUGAAGAGAGAUGAAGUUAGCCAAUGAGGAUAGCCUCUUCAACUGCACUUCCGGGUACUCCACUAAGCUGUUUGGCAACAAUCAUUUUCUUUGGCUGUGUAGCAUAGGUCCAUGUUUACUUGGCUAUAGACCGUAUUCAGCCCCUAGAUGCUGCUUUUUCUGAUAUGAAGUCAGCUUCUAUAAAUUGUCUAAGAGUUUUUUCUCUAUAAUGUAACAUAACCAUGGGUCAGUAGCCUAUA